CUACGGGUGGCAGCAGUGGGGAAUAUUGCACAAUGGAGGAAACUCUGAUGCAGCAACGCCGCGUGGAGGAUGACACUUUUCGGAGCGUAAACUCCUUUUAUAUAGGAAGAUAAUGACGGUACUAUAUGAAUAAGCACCGGCUAACUCCGUGCCAGCAGCCGCGGUAAUACGGAGGGUGCAAGCGUUACUCGGAAUCACUGGGCGUAAAGAGCGUGUAGGCGGGUUAAUAAGUCAGAAGUGAAAUCCUAUGGCUCAACCAUAGAACUGCUUUUGAAACUGUUAACCUAGAGUGUGGGAGAGGUAGAUGGAAUUUCUGGUGUAGGGGUAAAAUCCGUAGAGAUCAGAAGGAAUACCGAUUGCGAAGGCGAUCUACUGGAACAUAACUGACGCUGAGACGCGAAAGCGUGGGGAGCAAACAGGAUUAGAUACCCCCGUAGUC
rnacentral:rRNA from 1 species